CCCCUAUUUAAAAAGUCAUAAAAAUCCUUCUUCAGUUAAUAUUCAAAGAAACAUCUAAAAAAAAUCUAGACAUUGUGUUGGGGUAUAAGGAAGCAAAAAAAACUCCAGCAGAGAAUGCACCCCUUGCCCCAUAAGUCUUAGGGUAAUAACCCACAGAGCGAUUGAGUUGCCGGGAAUCUCUGCUAUCGCGCGCAACAAUAAACUUUUUGCGUCGCUUUGGUAAUACAAAGUUGCACAUAGUUGCCAGCAGGAGGAAACUUCCCGCAAGUUCGGAUUACCAAAGCGAUGCAAGGGGCUUUCCACCGGCGACUCCUAUUGUUACUGGUGGAAACCCUUUUCGGAGCAGUUUGUUGCCCCCAAUAGCAGAGAUCUAUCUCAGGUGACUAAACUGCUCUGUGGCUUCUUUCCCUUAAGGUGUUGUAGUUACACUAAAAUGGUGUAAUUUGUGUCAUUCAUUAAUGUUACUUGCAUCAGAACAGGCUCCUUGCAUGUCCAUAUAGUUGCAAUAAGGUACCAUUGUGUCCUUCUUUUGCGCUACAAAUGUGGCAGCAAUUCCAGGGUUCCCAUAAUGGUAACCCACCAGGUGGCAGUUAGCUUUUUCAGGUCUAUUGCAGGGUUAUGAGAGAGUCAGUUGCCAUGGAGCUCUGGACUGGUGAAAGCCUUGUGUUGUUAAAAUCCCAUUUGGGUCCGUGGGGCCCACAGGGUCUGACCCUGGUUCCUUUUAUAAUUUGUUGUUCUAUACAGUAGUGGAUGUUUAAAAUAAGAAAUGCAGCGUUUUUGUCUGUUUGCCAUACAGUUUACUUUAUUCCCUAGUACUCUAUGUGCCAUUCAUAGACACUAACAACAUCUUUCCUCUCUGCUGUUUAAGGAAGGCACAGUACCAGGCGGCACAGCCAAUUUUCCUUCUCUCUUUGAUGUGUUUGGCUUUGUUGAUACUAUCAUAGAUGUCAGGGAUACUGUUUGUAGAUAACCUGCCAACUAAGUAGGGCUGAUUUUAGGACACAGCAUUAGAAUAGCAUCUCAUUCUGCCAUGAUGGUCUGUUACUGUGUUCAUGGAGAUAGAACACGAGCCCCACAAAAUCACUACACAAAGAACCAACAGAAGGAAGUGCAAUGUUUGCUCAUAGCCUGCAUAGAGAUACCACAAAUCAGCAGCAAACUGAGGGGAUACAGGGGUGUCUGUAGCAGACUAGUGCCAAUCAGCCUGAAGGGGAGACUGUCUCCUAGAACUCCAGGGUGAGUUGUCCAAAUAAGGGGGCAAUAGGGGAGGCAAUAGCACACAUGAUGCUUUGUUGCAUGAAAUAGGGUAUUUUGGUUGUCUUGUCACCUGUGGAUCUGUAUUUCCAUCCUACCUGCUGUCAGGGCUCCCUUAGCUAAUAACAGAAUUAUAGGCAUUGGAAAACAUUGUUAAAUCUACCAUUCAGUUACAGUUUCAAGAAUAUCUACACUGACCAUUAAGUGUUCACCAUAAAUUCCACCCUAAGGGGCAGAAAUGGCCUUGAUUCCCCUAACCAGUGCUGUGGGUGCCCUGAUGGCCCAUUGGCUUUGAGAACCACUGUUUUAUUAAAGUUUAUUAAAAUAACAUAAGUGCAAGUUAUUGCUUUGGCCAAAGCCAGACAAGAUAAGCUCAAUGAGCUUUGCUUCACAACAUGAUGGGAUAAAUACCUGUUAAGUAUGUGACAAUUAUGUUACACAUCCACUAUUCAUUGUCCUUAAUAAGCCCAUUAGCAUACUAAAGCCCUAACUAGUAGCCUUUUGUUGUGCCCAGACCCUGAUAAAGGCUCUGCUGUUAAUCCAGUGUGGGGAUGUCUUGGUCCAGCAACUAAGCACUCAGCCUGUAAACCUAUCUGCCAAGAAAUGCAGAGAAGACAUUGCUAAUUAGUGUAUCCCAUUAAGCAGAGGGGAAUUAGAUGCCUAUUUCAAAUUAAAAUCCAGUCUGAUUUUUUAAGAAGGGACUGCCUACUUUCAGAAUUAAAGUACAAGUAACCAGCAUG